AGUGAACGCUGGCGGUAGGCCUAACACAUGCAGGUCGAACGGCAGCACAGUAAGAGCUUGCUCUUACGGGUGGCGAGUGGCGGACGGGUGAGGAAUACAUCGGAAUCUACUUUUUCGUGGGGGAUAACGUAGGGAAACUUACGCUAAUACCGCAUACGACCUACGGGUGAAAGCAGGGGAUCUUCGGACCUUGCGCGAUUGAAUGAGCCGAUGUCGGAUUAGCUAGUUGGCGGGGUAAAGGCCCACCAAGGCGACGAUCCGUAGCUGGUCUGAGAGGAUGAUCAGCCACACUGGAAAUGAGACACGGUCCAGACUCCUACGGGAGGCAGCAGUGGGGAAUAUUGGACAAUGGGCGCAAGCCUGAUCCAGCCAUACCGCGUGGGUGAAGAAGGCCUUCGGGUUGUAAAGCCCUUUUGUUGGGAAAGAAAAGCAGCAGGUUAAUACCCCGCUGUUCUGACGGUACCCAAAGAAUAAGCACCGGCUAACUUCGUG
rnacentral:rRNA from 1 species